rnacentral:tRNA from 1 species
UCCCUGGUGACUCAGACAGUAAAGAAUCUGCCUGCAAUGCAGGAGACCCAGGUUUGAUCCCUGGGUGGGGAA